AUGGUGGUCGUGGCCUGCUCGUCAUUAUCAUUAUAUUGUAUAUGAUGAUAGUGAAAUUAUGCAUUUUUCUGGUGUUAGCAAAAAUGGUAUGGGAUGAGUUCUAAGUUCUUGCUUGUUUAUAGUGGUAUUUACUGAUUAGAGGCACCGUUGACUUGUAUAGAUACAUUGUUUUCCAAUACAAAAUUACCGAUUUGAGUUUGA